GAUGAAGAACGUAGCAAAAUGCGAUAAGUAAUGUGAAUUGCAGAAUUCAGUGAAUCAUCGAAUCUUUGAACGCACGUUGCGCCCGCCAGUAUUCUGGCGGGCAUGCCUGUUCGAGCGUCAUUUCAACCCUCAAGCACAGCUUGGUGUUGGGACUCGCGUUAAUUCGCGUUCCCCAAAUUGAUUGGCGGUCACGUCGAGCUUCCAUAGCGUAGUAGUAAAACCCUCGUUACUGGUAAUCGUCGCGGCCACGCCGUUAAACCCCAACUUCUGAAUGUUGACCUCGGAUCAGGUAGGAAUACCCGCUGAACUUAAGCAUAUCAAUAAGCGGAGGA
rnacentral:misc_RNA from 1 species